GCCGCACUUAAACAAGUUCCUUGCCUCUCAGGGUUGCGGUUGCCCGGACAGGAGGCUAAUAAUCCGUAAGGAGCACUACUAAUG
rfam:Morganella morganii subsp. morganii KT, complete genome.